UCUGCUUUUACCUCUCCUCCUUCCCGAUCCUUCCCGACCCCGACGCCUCUCUUCCCACGGGCAUCGCCUCCACCACGUCCUCCUGCACCUUCCCUUCCUCCCUCUCCCUCUCCCUCUCUGCCUCCUUCUCUCCCCCGACGGCAACGACGGCGGCACAACGGCCUCGGUGCGGCAGCCUCGGCGUGCGCGGCCCCUAGCGCGGCGGCCGUACAGCCCGACGCGGUGGGUGGCCGCACCUGGCCGUGGGUGCGAACGCCCCCUCCUCGGCGACGCGACCGAGCCCUGCCGGUGGCUGCCGGCGUGGCUGCCUCCCCAACGCCGCUUCCUCCCCCUACUCCGCGUGUGGUCUUGUGCUACAGGAAACCCUAGAGGUCGUGAGCGCCCAACGGCGACCCUGCCCCUAGCUCCUCUCUCUCUCUCUCCCUCCGUGUGCCCCUAUGGAUGGAACCGUUGUCUCCUCGCCAGAUUCAGCCCCAUAACAGAGAGACGCGGACACGCUCCUCAUCCAGGUCUGUGCCUUGCUUUUUGUUUGUUGAUAUUGAUUCGAAGGUCAUCACUGCCCCAGUGUAUGGUUUCAAUUGUUUUAAGUUGAUUAGACUUUUAUUCUGCUACCGAUCUAAAUUAGCAAGAAACCACUAUAUUGUAGAAUAAAAAGGAAAAACAAAAUUACUGUGUACACACGCAAUUGACAGAUGUUUAUUUUUAAUGUGAACUUCCCAUUGCCAGGAGUAGAAUGGGAGUUCAAGUCCCACUGCUUUAGUUUAUGACGAACAAUUUUAAGGUACUUUUUGGACCAUUUUCAGGCUCGCUUUUGUGAGACACAUUUUUUGUACUUCAUUUACAGUUCUAAAACUAUAGUUAUAAGGUGAAAACGUGCAACUGUCUUUCACUUGCUUGGUUAUAUAACCAUGAUUCUAGAGGAAAGUUACAGUGAACCUCUUCACCAUGAAUCGAAAUGUUCAUACUGCUUUGGCCUAGGAAAUUUAUUUAUAAUAGGUGGUUACGACGAUUACUCUCUAAUAAUCUUAGUUUACUAUUCCUUUCAGGCCGCACUGUAACCAGGCAAAUACACUUUCGCUAGCAAUGUUUCCAAUAUGAACAUAUACAAUUACUUCAGUUGUUUUCUCACAUAAUCGAGGCUUCUCAUGUCCUUCAUAGACCAUACGCUACAAAAGUAAGAUAGUCCAUUUUAUUUCUUUAUGUACUCCCACUGUAAUAAAUAAUGUUAUGAUAGUUCCUGCGAUUAAUUGGUUCAGAACCUUUUGAAAUCAGUUUCUCUGAUAGCCUGGUACUUUUCCUUUUUUGUCAAUUCUGACUGACCUUCCUCCCAAACGUCUCUGGAGCUUCACUAUUACACGUGUAAUUCCAUGGCCAACCUUUUACAUUUCCUAUACCUGUCUGGUGAAUACUAUUCCUUCUUGGACUUGACUUUGGAUUGGUAAAUUUUUUUGUAAUAAAUAGUCCCAUGGUCUAAUUAUUUUUUUGUGCAAAGAAUGGCACAUGCUCUCUUUUAUUUGUCUGUGACUUGAUCCAGAAUGCUCAUGACAAAGGACCGUUAUGGGACUCAUGACGGUGGAAAAUGGCUGCGGAGCUCAAACUGUUUGCCAUUAACCAAUGGGAGGUUAUAACAUCAAGUCAUUGUCUAGCGUCUCACAAACCCUGUUCUCUCUAAUACACAAUCGACCUAGGAUUCAGACUUGCCCAGGCUACAGCUUCACCAAACAGCCUAACUUACAGACUCUGACGACAAAGUUACAUGUUGGGGCUCUCCCUCUCGGCCACCAGGCUUUUGACAAACUUGAUGAUGUGAAUCUGAUGAUGCUAUGUUGGUCUAUGCAUCCAGAGUACCAAGGAGCACCACCACUCAAAAAGCAUCCUGUCCAAGGGACACGUGAUCAUUUCUUCAUGUGCUAGCUAAUGAGACUAUGCAUGUAUAAUGCGACAUGUUUUUCUGUUCUAAUCUACAGACUUUUCAUGACUAUCCUCCUUAAUUAUUGGUCUGUUACAUUCAACCUUUGUGUUGGUUAUCCUAAUUUGCCUACCCCCUUGCUAGAUGUAUAAAUGACACAUCCUCUUCAUGUUUGUUGUUAAACUGAUGGUCCAUGUAUA